rnacentral:tRNA from 1 species
GGGAAAGUGGCCGAGUAAGCGACAGACUGUAAAUCCGCCGAAGGUUUUCUACUCUACGGAGGGGCGAAUCCUGCCUCUCCCA